ACAACCCUCAAGCCCUGCUUGGUGUUGGGCGUCUGUCCCGCCCCCGCGCGCGGACUCGCCCCAAAUCCAUUGGCGGCGGCCCUUGCCUCCCUCUCGCGCAGCACAUUGCGCUUCUCGAGGCGUCGCGGGCCGCGCUCCACGAAGCACGCAAACCAGU
rnacentral:misc_RNA from 1 species